UACAGAGGUCUCAAGCGUUGUUCGGAUUCAUUGGGCGUAAAGGGUGCGUAGGCGGCGCGGUAAGUCGGGUGUGAAAUCUUGGAGCUUAACUCCGAAACUGCAUUCGAUACUGCCGUGCUUGAGGACUGGAGAGGAGACUGGAAUUUACGGUGUAGCGGUGAAAUGCGUAGAUAUCGUAAGGAAGACCAGUGGCGAAGGCGGGUCUCUGGACAGUUCCUGACGCUGAGGCACGGAAGGUCAGGGGGAGCGAAACGGG
rnacentral:rRNA from 1 species